UGAGGAAUAUUGCUCAAUGGGCGAAAGCCUGAAGCAGCAACGCCGCGUGCGCGAUGAAGGUCUUCGGAUCGUAAAGCGCUUUUGAGAGGGACGAGAUAGGACGGUACCUCUUGAAUAAGUCACGGCUAACUAAGUGCCAGCAGCCGCGGUAAAACGUAGGUGGCAAGCGUUAUCCGGAUUCACUGGGCGUAAAGCGCGUGCAGGUGGCUUCGUAAGUUGGACGUUAAAUCUUUCGGCCUAACCGGGAGGUGUCGUUCAAUACUGCGGGGCUUGAGGGUAGAAGGGGGGGGUGGAAUUGCCGGUGUAGUGGUGAAAUGCGUAGAUAUCGGCAGGAACACCUGUGGCGAAAGCGGCCCCCUGGUCUGCUCCUGACACUCAGACGCGAAAGCUAGGGGAGUGAACG
rnacentral:rRNA from 1 species